AGCAUGGCAGCCUCCAUGCCGCUCGUGAGAUCAGCUAACGGCUAGAACCUUCUGGUGCAUUCGUGCUUGUGAGAUCACAGCUUCAUAUAGACAGUCGGUGGUUUACAGGAGGAGUGAAGUUGUUUACAAGUUGUGUCCGUCAAAUUAACUCCCGUGUGCACGCUGUAAACAGUAUGGCAGAAAACAGUCAGAACAGAAGAUAUCCCCCGAACCUUCAGGGGGUCCUGAGGCUGGCAGUAGAGGCUGCAUCAGCUGCAGAGGGACCUGCUCCUCUGGAACCCAUGUCAGAGGAGAGGAAAACGUGGCUAAGAGAAGCUCUUGCAGAAGUUUGCAAAGGGCAGAUGGAUGAAGUGGAGCAGAUGAAGCGCUGCUUGGCGAUUCUACUCAAAGAGGAAGUGAGCAAAAGUGAGAGGGAGGGAGAGGAGGAGAGGGAUGACGAGGAGGAUGAAGACGAGCGGGAAUCGGCCCUUGAGACGCUGUCAGAGUUUUGUGAGAACUUGGACAAUGCAAGAGACCUAAUGACUCUGGGUGGACUGGAGUUGUGCCUCUCGCAGUAUCUGUUUCAUGUCCAAAGUGGUCUACGGUGGCGUGCUGCCCAGGUGAUCGCUUCCUGUGCUCAGAACAUGCCACAGGUGCAGGUCUACCUGCUCAGCAUCGGGGCGCUGCCAAAGCUGCUGCAGCUUACAGACUCGGACCCCAACCCCACCGUCAGAGUGAAAGCCCUUUACGCUGCCUCGUGUCUAGUUCGUGAGCAGGAGGUAGGACUCCAGGCGUUCCUGUCCCUGGAUGGUUUCUCAGUGCUAAUGCGUGGCAUGCAGUCAGAGAAUGAGAAGCUCAGCACCAAGUCCGCUUUCCUUCUUCUUAACCUGCUGACAUCACAUCCUGAACAGAAAGACACAGUUGUCUCCAUGGGUAUGGUGCAGCAGCUGGUAUCUGUCCUCCGCACACCACACUCAUCUUUCCAUGAACAAGUGCUUGGUGCCCUCUGUUGUCUGGUGGAGGACUGUCCACAGGCUCUCAAAGACUGCAUGACUCCUUCUCUGGGUCUGGAGGAGCUCCUCAAACAACGGGCCAGAGAGCUCCACGGAAAGGAAGAAAGUCAGGAAGAAUUGGACUUCUGCGAGCGUUUGAGAAUGAUGUGUCUCCGUGGGCAGCAGUCAGAUGACAGUGGGAUGGAUCGCUGAAGAGUUAUUUACCCCAUGUAACGGAACAUUUUUCACAGUCAUCAUGGAUGUUUAGCAUCGUCCUCAGCUGUUACGACAGUUGCUGUCCAUAUCUUGCAUGUACGCCAGGAGCUGGAUUUUACCAUACCAGGAUCUUACCGUGCACAAAAAGCUCAGGCCAUAUCAAGCAACAGUCGCCGACCGCAGAGAAGAGCAGUCCUCCCGCAACGCCCAGGAGACUCUGACCUCCAUUCCAGCUCAGCACUGCAGCAGCCAAUAGGAGGGUUGGUGCCGAUUUGACACCUGCAGCAAUGAUGGAUGCCGGCGAGUCAGGAGUCCACAUGUAGAAGUACAGGGCUGAGGACAAAAAGAAAGGCAAGAGAAAGAAAAGUAGGGUACAGGACUGAGAGAGACGGAGGAGUAAGGAGAAAGAGGGGGAGACGUCACAACUGAAAAGGCAGUAUUAACUAAUACAAACAAAUACUGACCAAUCACUAAGUAUCAGUAAAGGGGAUUUUGAGCUACCAUAUUUCUCCUCUUCCGCCUGUCAUAGGCAGCUGUCUCGAGGAUGUCCAUGUUCUCAGAGUCAGCGCUGGCGUGGGUUCUCACAGGCUCGGACAGUUGGGUGAACUUGUGUUGUUAGGCACCUUCCUUUUUCUUCUUGGUUACAAACACAUCUAAUCCGCAAUUUUCUUGCCUUGUUCUUUUGUUCCCUUCGUGUCGAAUCUGCAGUGUGUUUCAGUCUGUCGCUAUUCCACAGCAAUGAACUUUAGACUGCUCCUUACUGUGUAAUUGCUCUCUGAUAAUCAAUCCCUGUUUUGCGUUCUCAUGGACAAACAGCUGACCUUUGACCUCCCUAAUCGAAAUACAUUGACAUCAACACUUGAAGGGGCAAAGUUGAGGGCGGUGAAAAGCUGCGGAAAGCAAACGUCACAUAUGAUAAUGGUUGUUUUCUAAUUUUACAUUUGAUUUGAUUGUUAUUAAGACAUUUACAGUUUGCAUGGAUUUUGAUAGAUGAGUAUGGGGAAAUCCCCAUAUUCUUACACAUAUCUAAACGUGUUGAACAUUGGUAAACUUUAAAAACUUAAACUGUUUAAUGAGUAAGCAAAAGUUCUGCUGCUAAACAGGAUUAUUUGUCAGCAAAUUUGUAAAGGCAAUAUAUGACUCAUUUGUAGAGGUUGUGAUUUAAAUAAAGAAAAAUAUGGAUUUCA